AACGCACCUUGCACCCUUUGGUAUUCCGAAGGGUACGCCCGUUUGAGUGUCAUUGUAAUCUCACUUCUACAACUUUAUUGUUGUUUGAAUGUGGACUUGGAUGUUGCCGUUUUAUCACGGCUCGUCUUAAAUGCCUGAGUGUACCCUGUUUUGCAGCGUAUCCAGUGUAAUAAACAUUUCACUAGAGUUGGUUGAAAGACCACGUUGACUAUAUGGGCUCUAUGCUUCAAACCGUCUGCCAUGUGGACAAUUUCUUGACAAUUUGACCUCAAAUCGGGUGGGACUACCCGCUGAACUUAA
rnacentral:misc_RNA from 1 species